GCCAGGAUAGCUCAGCGGUGGAGCACCUCAUUCAUAACGAGGCGGUCAUGGGUUCGAAUCCCAUUCCUGGUA
rnacentral:tRNA from 1 species